GGGUCAGUAGGUUGGUCGUGCCACCGGUACGUACUGGUCUCACUGAUUCCUCCUUCCUGAAGAACCGUAAUGCCAUUAAUCUGGUGUUGCGGGGAAACAGGACUGUUACUUUGAAAAAAUUAGAGUGUUUAAAGCAAGCUAACGCUUGAAUACAUUAGCAUGGAAUAAUGAAAUAGGACGAUCGAUCCUAUUUUGUUGGUUUCUGGGAUUGACGUA
rnacentral:rRNA from 1 species